rnacentral:rRNA from 1 species
GAUGAACGCUAGCGGGAGGCCUAACACAUGCAAGCCGAGCGGUAUUGUUUCUUCGGAAAUGAGAGAGCGGCGUACGGGUGCGUAACACGUGUGCAACCUGCCUUUAUCUGGGGGAUAGCCUUUCGAAAGGAAGAUUAAUACUCCAUAAUAUAUUGAACGGCAUCGUUUAAUAUUUAAAGCUCCGGAGGAUAGAGAUGGGCACGCGCAAGAUUAGCUAGUUGGUGAGGUAACGGCUCACCAAGGCGAUGAUCUUUAGGGGGCCUGAGAGGGUGAUCCCCCACACUGGUACUGAGACACGGACCAGACUCCUACGGGAGGCAGCAGUGAGGAAUAUUGGUCAAUGGGUGCAAGCCUGAACCAGCCAUCCCGCGUGAAGGACGACUGCCCUAUGGGUUGUAAACUUCUUUUGUAUAGGGAUAAACCUACCCUCGUGAGGGUAGCUGAAGGUACUAUACGAAUAAGCACCGGCUAACUCCGUGCCAGCCGCCGCGGAAUAC